GCAAAGAAAAUGUAAUCAAAAGUCAAAUAAUUAGAAAAUGCGAGCUAAAAACAUAUAGAAGCAGACAUAAACCAGCAUAAAAUGAAACCAUUACCACCAAUUAAUGAUGAAAAUUUGAACUUCCGCGAACAUUUCACAAUUUCCAAUAUCAAAGGCACUCUCGCAAAAUAUUAAUAAAAUAUGCCUCCCGCAGCUCUUCAGCUUUUACCCAUAAUUUGAUAAUUCCUAUGGCCAAAUAUAA
rnacentral:sRNA from 1 species